rnacentral:lncRNA from 1 species
UUUAAACACAAGGUUUAUGACAUAAAAGGAAGGUUGGGAUUGAUUUUGGGAGUUUUGGUCCCAACAGUUUAGGAAUUAGUGGCCAAAAAGGGCCCAAAUAAGCAUUUUCUUGGUUUUCACACUUUAACUUUAGUUUAAGUUAAUAGAAAUCUAUGAAAUUUUGACACAAGGUUUGUGACCAUAAAAGGAAGGUUGGGAUUGAUUUUGAGAGUUUAGGUCCUAACAGUUUAGGAAUUAGGGGCCAAAAAGGGGCCCAAAUAAGCAUUAUUUUCUUGUUUUCCACAAUAACUUUAGUAUAAGUAAAUAGAAAUCUGUGAAAUUUAAACACAAGGUUUAUGACCAUACAAAAAGGAAGGUUGGGAUUGAUUUUGGGAGUUUUGGUCCCCACAGUUUAGGAAUAAGGGGCUCAAAGGGUCCAAAAUAAAAUUUUGUUUGAUUUCAUCAAAAAUUGAAUAAUUGGGGUUCUUUGAUAUGCCGAAUCUAACUGUGUAUGUAGAUUCUUAAUUUUUGGUCUCGUUUUCAAAUUGAUUUACAUUAAGGUCCAAAGGGUCCAAAAUUAAUCUAAGUUUGAUUUUAACAAAAAUUGAAUCCUUGGGUUUCUUUGAUAUGCUGAAUCUAAACAGGUUCUUAGAUUUUUGAUUAUUGGCCCAGUUUUCAAGUUGGUCCAAAUUGUGGUCCAAAAUUAAACUUUGUUUGAUAUCAACAAAAAAAUUGAAUAUUGGGGUUCUUUGAUAUGCUGAAUCUAAACAUGUAUUUAGAUUUUUGAUUAUAGGCCCGUGUUUUCAAAUUGGUCCAAAUUGGGGUCCAAAUUAAACUUUGUUUGAUUUCAACAAAAAUUGUAUAUUCAAAUUAUGUAUUUUGAUUUUGGAUAUUGGACCAUAAUAGGUAAUGUCCAAUUUAAAAUUUAAAGUUUUAAGUUUAAGUUCUGAGACCACAUUCAUUAUGUGUCAGAAACCUUUGUUGUGUCAACUAUUUAAUCACAAUCCAAAUUCAGAGCUGUAUCAAGCUUGAAUGUUGUGUCCAUACUUGCCCCAAUGUUCAGGGUUCGAACUCUGCAGUCGUAUAAAGCUGCACCCUGCAGAGCAUCUGGUUCUAUUUGGACUUAUCACUUGAAGAGUUAUUUUUUUUGUUCUCAUGUGACCAGUAUUGUCAUAAUUUACAUGAUGUAUGAUACAAUGAAGUGUGUUACUCUGAAAAUACAUAAAUAUUGAUAUCUAAGAUUGUGAAUUUUUAGGUUUAGAAAACCUCAAAUAAAGUGCUAAAUAUUUAUUUAAGAAUACUCUAACUGAAUGCUUAUAUCUUUAAUAUUCUCUGUUUAAUUUGAUCUCAGCUUGUGCAAACUGAUGAUAAUUUAUAACUAGACAAAUAUAGUAGAUAUAUGCAGCUGUCCUUUCUAGUUUUUUGGGAUGUCAUUUUGGUGUAUUAUUGAGAUAUAUUUUAAUUUUCUUAAUCUGUUAUUAUAUAAUUGCAUUACAUGUAAUGAUUAUACUGGCAUUUGAUAUUACUUGUAUUUUUCAUGAACCAAGGCAUAAGCAUUGGGUCUCAUUAAUUGUUUUUUAUUGUAUGAUAAAUUAUUAUUAUUUUGAAGCAUAUGACACUAUUGAUACACAAAUGUAAAACUGAGCUAUUUAUGCAAUAAGAAAAUGUGCUACAUCACUAAUAUCACAUGAAACUUCCAAGAUUUGUGUUCAUUCGUAAAUAUAUUCAUGAUAUUAGUUGAAACAUGUGAGUUGUCCGUUUUAUAAUCUUUAUUUCAUGAUACAGCUUAAAUGUUUUUGGUUACAUUUGCCUUAACUCUUGUUAUUCAUAUCCAUAGAUAGAGCAAGGAUAUAUGUUAUAAUGAAAAAUUUAGUAAAAUCCUCUUGAUAAAAUACAGAUCCUUUGUCCAAGCUUCAAAUUUGACCUUAAGUUAACUACCUCAUUAGUUUCUUUAUUAUGAAUUUUUCAUGUAAUAUUCUUAUUGUAUAUGUGUGAAAAAAACCUAGUGGUAUAUAUAUUUAUGAUGUUUAUAAGAUUUGUGUUUUUUAUUGGUUAGAACAAGUGUUUUACUAUGGGUUACAUGUUAUUUCUGGGAUACUAAUCAUAGUAUUCUAACUACCAAAUUGAUUGUUCAAAAAGUUUUCUUGUUAUCAGAGCUUUUCAAAAGGAUGAAUUCAAUUAUUUCUGAACCCCCCAUAUAAAUGAAUGAAUCCAGAGUAUGUAAAUGGUUAAUGUGAUUUUUAUUGGAUCUUUACACUGCUUUAUUCUGCUAAUUUGCUUUACUUUCAAAUUCAAUUUUAUUAAAAUAAUUCCUCAUUUGGCUAUAAAGUUAAGAGGAUAAAUAUGGCAACAUGAGGCAUGCUAAGUUUCUUUAAAAACACAAUCAAGGUUAAUAUUUUAAAACUUAAGAGAAGUUAAAUAAGGAUACCAGGAUCUAAAUAUGACGUAAACUAUCUUUUGAGCAGUUAAAGAAUACAAUUCCCAAGGGUAGCAAUUCAGACUCUCUUAAGAUAAUAUUAUUUGGCUUUACAGAAACUUUUAUAUACCAAACUUUUAUAUACCAAAUUAGUAAUGAAAUCUACUUUUGAAAAUUAAAGAAAUCUAAACCAAUAAAAAUGAAAAAAAAACAGUUUACAUGUAUGUGUGAACACUUCAUAUAUUUAUAUGUAUAAAAUAUUUAGACUUUGUAAAUACAUGACGCUUACCUUCAGUUGUUAAAUUUCAGCAGAAGUUGAUUGUUUGUUAAAAGCAUUCCAAAUUCAUUUUUAGUUGUUUGUAUCUACCUUUGUAUGAAUAUGUUUUGUUUUUCUUAAUCAUAUAUGGUUAUUAAUAAUAUAAUUUCACGAUUUGGUAACAAAAUACUGUUGAUUUUUGUGACUGCAUUUAUGAAACAAAUAUAAGAAGAUUAGAUAACGAACAAGCUAUGAUUUUUCCUUUAUCUUAGUUUAUAUUGUGAUGAAGGCAUUUGGAUAGCUUUGUGUCAGCAUUUCAAGUUCUGGUUGUUGUCGAUCUAUUCUGUUUGGAGAAGAUGUUGUCUAUUGAUUUUGAUAUCACAAAAGUGAGUGGUCUAUCUUCUUUUAAAUGUAUGAAAUCAUGUUUGUUUCUGGACAAUCUGUUUUGAAUCAAUAAAUUUUGAUUUUUAUACUAAAAUUUGAUGGAUGUCCAAUUUUCAUACAAUUUGGAUAUACCACUUGGGGAUAGAAACUCUUUUUUUUUUGCCUUCCUCUAUCUUUUAAUACCAGGUAGGGAUGUUGAUAGAGAUAAUAAUAAAAUGAUUUUUUUUUCUGAAUAUAACCUUUGAAACACUAUUUUUAUCUUACAAAGUGUGGGAAAAUAAUGUGGAUAUUUUUUUAGGUCAUCAGGUUAGAUAUCAAAGAAGUUUAGAUAACGAACAAGCUAUGAUUUUUCCUUUACCUUAGUUUAUAUUGUGAUGAAGGCAUUUGGAUAGCUUUUUGUCAGCAUUUCAGUUUGGGAACUUUUUCUUUCAAGUUAUGGUUGUUGUCGAUCUAUUCUGUUCGGAGAUGUUGUCUAUUGAUUUUAAUAUCACAAAAGUGAGUGGUCUAUCUUCUUUUAAAUGUAUGAAACCAUGUUUGUUUCUGGACAGUCUCUUUUGAAUCAAUAAAUUUUGAUUUUUAUACUAAAAUUUGAUGGAUGUCCAAUUUUCAUACAAUUUGGAUAUACCACUUGGGGAUAGAAACUGUUUUUUGCCUUCCUCUAUCUUUUAAGACCAGGUAGGGAUGUUGAUAGAGAUAAUAAUAAUUUUUUUUUCUGAAUAUAACCUUUGAAACACUAUUUUUAUCUUACCAAGUGUGGGAAAAUAAUGUGACUAUUUUUUUUAGGUCAUCAGGUUAGAUAUCAAAGAAAAAGAAUUCAUAUUUACGUCUAUUUUAUUUAUGUUAUCAUUCCAGAACAUAUUUGUUUUUAAAACAAGCAAUAGUUAUUAUUAUCAUAUAGCUGGGGUCACAAAUGCACUGAUAUUUUCCAUUUUGUCUGAUUGUUAAUGAUUUAUUUCUUAUAUAGUUAGGUCUGUGUUAACAUGUCUGUUCAGGUGUGCAUAUCAGUAAAGUAUUUUUUUUAGUUAUGUUCAUAAAUUUAAGCUGAAAAUGUUUAUGCAUAUCUUAAUAUGGAUAAGAAGAUUACCAAUUUGUAUGUUAAUUCAGUAACUGAUAUUGCAUUUUAUUUCAAAUUAAGAUUUGUAUGCCCUCAUUUUCAUGUGUUAUAAAUCAUGUAAUGAUUUUCAAAAGUGGUUGAUCAUUUAAUAUUUACCAGAUGAGAUUAAAGAUGGGG